CAGCAAGGAGUUCAAGCUACUGAGACUGCCCAACCUCGCAAGCGACGUCGCUAUCUAAAAAGUUAUGGACAAACUAAGUGUGGAGAUGAAAAUCAUCUAAAAUAACCAUAAACGCUUCUAUGUUGCAGGUUUUGGAGA